CGCCCGCCGACGGCCCCCCUGAACGCUGUCUGAAGUUGCAGUCUGAGACCUAUAACGAAAUUAGUUAAAACUUUCAACAACGGAUCUCUUGGUUCCGGCAUCGAUGAAGAACGCAGCGAAAUGCGAUAACUAAUGUGAAUUGCAGAAUUCAGUGAAUCAUCGAGUCUUUGAACGCACAUUGCGCCCUCUGGUAUUCCGGAGGGCAUGCCUGUCCGAGCGUCAUUGCUGCCCUCAAGCCCGGCUUGUGUGUUGGGCCCCGUCCCCCCCGCCGGGGGGACGGGCCCGAAAGGCAGCGGCGGCACCGCGUCCGGUCCUCGAGCGUAUGGGGCUUCGUCACCCGCUCUAGUAGGCCCGGCCGGCGCCAGCCGACCCCCAACCUUUAAUUAUCUCAGGUUGACCUCGGAUCAGGUAGGGAUACCCGCUGAACUUAAGCAUAUCAAUAAG
rnacentral:rRNA from 1 species